CGCCCCGCCAGCCCCAGCCGCUCUCUGAGUGGCUAGAAGGCGCCUCGCGGCUUGCGGGACCACUAUGCAUCACUUCCGGGGCGUGUCCCGUCCGGGGAGCUAGACAAUCCGUGGAGCUUGGGUUGCGCGUUUGUCCUGAAAGAAGGCCUGGGGUUCUCGGUCAGAGUAAGGCUUGAGUCGAAGCCUGCAGACUCGCUGCCGGCUAGGGCAGAAGAGCAGGGCGUCCAGGGCGUCUCAGGGGCUCCGCCAGCGAGGGCCUGCGAUUGCUAUUCCCGGCGCCGGGGACCCAGGGGCCGGCAAGCGGGCGGGCGGGCAGCGAGGCAUGCCGGGAGCUGUAGUCUGUCUCCUCGAUCACCGCGAGUAGGUGCCAGUCUGCGUGGUUCGCGGACAGCGAGGGGCUUGGGCGUUUUCCAGGCGGGCUGCGGUCAUCAGAAGCAGAAGGACUCAUGCUGGUAGCAAAACCUCUUUCAUCUCCGAAGGGGGAGCAACUAGAAUCCCGAGUGCGCCCUUCCCGUACCGUCCAGUGUUGGCUGAAUUGGAGGGGAUCUGCCUGCCUCCCUUGAGAUUGAACUUCGGAAUGAAAUGUAAGGCUUUGCACCAUAGAAUGAACUUUGCAGAAUCUGCUUGUUAUCAGAGACUACUCUGGCCUAACUCAACUUUUUACAAAUAAAGUGAUCUGCCCAGGGUCCCCCAGCAUGUUCUUGGUAGUGUGAGAACUACAACUCGAGCGCUUUUGCUUGCUCUAAAACACCGUGUUGCCUCUCACUAGGGAAUAUAAACUUGUGGUCAUGUGACAGACGUGAAGCAUUUGAUCAGUGAUCUUAUUUUGGUUCUUAUGCGCGCAUUUUUUUCUUAACAGUACGUUGGUCAGGAGAUUUCGUUAAAAUAGUAUAUAUCAGUGGUAGGACAUUUACAGAUGUUUAAAUACAUCAUGAAUUUAAGGAAAAACUUGAAGAAGAUGGGCGUGAAUAGCAAGAUACAAUUUAUAUACACUUUUUAAAGGGAUCGAACUCAGGACCUUGGGCUUGCGAUACCAAACAGACUCUUAACUCAGUCGAUUAACUGUGCAAGGUGGAGGUCAUCAGGACAGCAGUAAUAUGCGGAAGCUGACUCUGCAGGGGUGAAGGCAGCCUCACCAAACUGCCACAGGGAGACAGUUCAGAGCCAGGAUCCGAUGCCAGAGUCUACGAGCAGCUCCACCAGCCUGAAGAGACACAGGAACAUCGUUCAGACCUGCAAGAGACUUCACAGCUGAUCACAGUAGUCCUGCGUCCUACAGCACAGGAACUUUACACAUGUAUAAACUGAGAUAGAGUGCUAUGAAUGUGUCAUCAAAUGACAAUAAGGGGAAAUCGUUGGGUCCAUUUAAUUCUUUGCUUCGUAUGUUAUAG
rnacentral:lncRNA from 1 species